AUAUUAGACAAGUGAAAGUUUAUUUGUGAAAACAGUAAUGUAGCCUACAUGUUGGGUGAGGAUCGUGUUUACCACAUGUUUACUUUCUCACUUCUCCUUUUUUACAUUUGAAGUUAUUCUCUGUUUCUCCUUCCUUCCGCCACAUCUGUCUUUCUCCUCCUCUCUUUUACUGUCAGUUCUGGUUUGCCCAUCUCUGCGUGUACUUCAAGGUCUUCUUACUGAUGCUUCAAGAUGAACACAACAGUUGAGGCCAUUACUGAAGGCUUUAACACAACUAAGUUUGACAACGUGUCCCACAGCAAGCCUGAUCUCAGACCAGUGAAAACACCUAACUCACCUAACACAGCAUCUCGACCUGAUUGGAUACUCUACACAGUUCCUGCAUCAGCCUUUCUGAUUGGGAUUGUUCUGUUUACGUACGUCUGCAAAACACAACGACGCAGAAAUGCACCUGCAAUGCAGAAGACAAACACAAAUGGACACUUUGCCACUUACACCGACUUUGGGUUCACUAAGAGCGCUACUCAGAGACAUAUGGAGACCAAUAAAAACAACAAGAAGGAUGACACGCAGUCCUAUGAGAAUGUAGAAGCAGCUAUCUACAGCAAUCAAGACAAAGUCACAUAUUAUGUUUCUGCAGAUGAAGAUUAUCUUAACCCGGAUGCAAUGGGGGAAGAGGAAGUGCCAGGGCCAGAAAAACUUCACAACAACACUCUACAACUACCUAGCAAUUUGACCGAUACGGAUGGAGAGUCAUAUGAGAACAUGGAGGGGUGUUUAUAUGCUCUGCCUCGCAAACAAACACAGCAACUCCAGGACGCCGCUGAAGAUGACGGUGAGGGAUCAAACACACACCCAAACGGGUGUCAGGGAUCUGAUAUUCUAUUCACUUUAAUACACAGUAGUCAAAUGAAUGUGAUAAUCUCUCUUAAAAAUGCCACAGACUAUAUCAAUCCUGAUGAAGAUAGAAAACAAGAUCUCGCUCUGGACCAAACAGACACUGGCAAGUGUUUCAUUAUGUGUUUGUAUGCACAUGUACAGUUUGGAAUAAAACAAACAAACUAAAUAUUAGGUAUAUAUAUAUAUUAUAUCUUUCCUUUCAGAGUCAUAUGAAAUUAUGGUUGGAUCAGACUGUCCUGUGUACACGACCCAUGACACCACGGAGGAUGGUGAGUGUGUGUGUGUGUGUGUGUGUGUGUGUUAAAGACAUGCGUGUCUCUUUACAUGUGAUUAAGUUUGUGUGUAAACGCUUGUUUCAGAUUCAUAUGAACAGAUGAACGGAAUCCCAGUCCUGAUCUAGAAAGAAAUGGAUGGAAGAAGAGAGGGUGAAUGAAAGAGAUGCAGAGAAACAGACAACUGCAGUAAAACUGCAAUUUUUAAAGAGAGACAAAAGAGAAAAACUGAGUUUCUUUUUAAGAUUAAGACCUAGCAGCUACAGGAUGCAUAAUAGUUAUUUGUUAUUUUUACAAAUAAGUACUGAAAUCAAAAUAGACUGUUUAAUUUCUUUAAUAAUUUUUGUGUGCAUUGUUGUUUUUUGUCUCUCUCUCUCACAUAACCAAAGGCACACAGACCAAAAACAUAAAUCAAAUUUCACUAUGCAAUCAAAUCAAAUCCUGUAUUCAGUCCCCCGAUGAAUAUUUCACUAGAAAUGUCACAUGACAGAAUUUGAAACACUUGCGAAUGACACUUCACGACGUUUGUAGACCUUAAAACAACAGUUUGUAAAAAUUUUUUUUACAUUGAAAUAUCAGUUUCAAAAUCUUUCCGGCUCCCGUUUCUUUCUCUUGCCCCCCUUAAACGUCAAACACUGUAAGUUUGGUGAGUGGGUACGAAUUUCAGCUAAAAGUGCGGUCUGCUUUACGGCAGCAACAAAUGCACUUGAUGCACAGCCAGGAGUGGUCUGUAACUACAACAGUGGUACAUUUGUGUGUAUGUGACGUCCUGGUCAUGUCUUACUUAAAAAUGUAAAUUCAUAAUUGAAAUGUAUUUCUAAAUAAUGAAUAGAAAAUAGAAAAUAAUGAUUUUUUUAUGCAGUAUUGUCUGUUUGAAGUCUUGAUUUUAAGAUAGAACCAAGACGUUUCUUUGUGAAAGUUACCGACUGGGUUGCAAUUGUAAAGAGCUUCCUGAACACUGUAUAUUGUUUUAUUGCUGUAUAAAUAUUAAAAUAUCUGUCACAAUAAAGACCUAACGAAUGAGUUUACUGUCA
ensembl:lncRNA